rnacentral:lncRNA from 1 species
GCCUGUGUGUGUGCAUGUGUGUGCAGAAGAGGAGCUGAGGAGGGUUAGCCCUGUGCCCAGGACAGCAGGUGCAGAGGCUGAACUCGGGCGGGGGCAGCUCCUCCUAGCUGCUUGAUGGGUGGAUCUCCACUCCAGCUGGGUCUGCUGGCCAACUUUCUGCAAGCUGUGGCUUCUCUGAGGUUCUGGGCUCCACUGCUGCACAGCCAGCUGCACAGUGCCUUGUGGUGGCAGCCCCAGGUCGUUGCUGCAGUUGCUUUCCAUCCUGUGAUCUGGGGAUCCAGACAAGUGGUGUGGGGAGGUUCUGCGCCACUCCGUGUGCCCGGGGCCUCAGCUGGGAGGACUGGAGUGGCUGAGCCGCCCUGGGACAGUGGGCACUGCUGAGCCGCCACUGAGCAAGACAACAGUGAGGUACAAUCUUCUGCGUGACACUGGCCAUCACCAUGGUAACAACCUGAUUGCAGCUGGCUCACUGUUGCCCUGGACCCAGACUGAGAAGCAUCAGAGAAGAGGACAUGGAGGAGAAGGCAGCAUGGAAGGGUCCCUGGGCAAGGGCUUUGUGUAUGAGAAGAAGCAGGCAGAAGACCUGAAUGAACAAGUACCUUCGUGCUGUCUAUGUUUGCGUGUCUAGUCUGCCGAUCUACACACGCGCCUGGAAAGCAGCUCUGGAUGGAUCCCACCCGCCUUACCCUCCCCCUCUUCCCUUUCUCAGCCAGUGGCACUGCUGGCCCACCUCGCUGCUCCACCCAGGGCCCCGGCAUCCACUCCUACCUUGCUGAGCCUGUCACCAUCCCUCUCCCCCAGGUUUCUGCAGCUUCCCGGGCUGCGUUUCUUCCUGUACCUCUGUGUAGCUCCCUUUCAUUUCACCCCAAGACCCUCCCCGAGCUUCUUCAGCCUCUCUUGAGCUUCUCUGGAACAUGGUCUUCAAGCUCCUUCAACGCUCACGACCUUUCUGCCCUUUGGCUCAGAAUGCUCCCUCUGCCCCUUCAUGUGGCUGGCCAUCAUCUUGGAAUCCUCAGCUGACAUGCUACUUCAGAGGGACUUUCUCCAUCAACUGCCCUCUUCCAGGCUGAGUCCCUGGGUUCAUUUCUGACAUAACAGCCCAUUUGUUCUUCAAAACAUUUACUGUAAUAGGCAAUAUGAGAUAUUUUCUUUAUUGUUCAUGAUAAAAAAUUUCUGCCUAGAAUCUUGUACCUACAAGAGCAGGCAUUUUGUCUUGAUUAUUAUUGAUUAUUGGCAUCCAUAGCUGCUGUCUAAAUACUAGUUUAAUAAAUAAGUGACCUCCUGUGAUUGCUGCAAACAUCUGGACCCAGAGUCAACAUAACAUGAAAACAAUCUGCUGGCACAAGACUGGUAUUCAGUGAGUAAUGGGAAAAGAUGGGUGGGCACAGGCAGCAGGGUUACAGCGUGCUCUGUUUUCCUUCCCCUGGGAAGUGGC